ensembl:lncRNA
AGUCAGGCUGCCCAGAACCUGUUCAGCCUUGCCUUGGAAGUCUCCAGGGACAGGACAUCCACCAUAUCUCUAGGCAACCUGUGCCAGUGCCUCUCUACCCUCACUGUCUUGGCUGUAACUUGGUAUUUCCUGCCACUGUUUGCUGGUGCAGUGUCCCUUCAGAGUAGUGAAAGCAAGAGCUACCCUGAGAGAGAAUGGCUGUCUUGGAUAUCCAAGAAGGACUUAGAAGAAAACUUAAAGAAGACUUAAAGAGUGACUACACUCAAAACCAGAUAUUAUUCACGAGCUACUAAAUGAGUAAGGAACAAUAAAAACAUCUGCAUCUGGUCAAGGAAAGCCCAAAUGCCAAUCCAAAACUGGAGAAAUCCAUCAUCACCAAUCCUUACCUAUACAGAGUAAAUUAUUAUGGACCCAACCCACAUCUCCCAUCUUCCUUCGAGAAAAAGAUCAGUCCCUGUUCAGACAGGACAUAACGUGGUCUCAUCUAAGGUGGUCUCAUUUUUUAUUCUGUCAAGAGCAAGAUAUCACCAUUGGAGGAGACCUGGGAAAGUAAAGGAUAAAAACUAAGUCAUUCAACCCUCUAUCCAGUGACUGUGGUUGGAGAAGGAAGAGCCAAAAAGCACAGGAAAGCAGAUUUAUCCUGUGUUAGUGAAGAAACCCUUGCAUAGAUGUAACUUCAUCUACUUAGACCCUAAAAGGUCUGGAUGGAUCCUGGUGCUGAGAAACCUCACUGGCUCCAAGCCUACUACAUCUGUACACGCAGUUCUCUACAGCAAAGAUGUAAGAUGUGGUUCCAACUGCAGGAUUACUCUGUUACAAUGUCCUCUGCUUCUUAGCACAUUAGUAAGAAUUUCAUGGGGCCUUCCUGGUGUAAUAGUCAUGCAGAAAGUGAUGCAUGGAUAAAAAGCUAAUUAUCUUUAUCUCAGAAAUAUCAUAGAAAGAAAAAUGAGAUUUUCUUAUGCUGAUGAAAGUGUAGUCAUGGAGAACAGACUAAAAUCUUGUACUCUUGUGAGUUGCUACCUUAUGGAGUACAAAACUUGACUCCUUGCUCCCUCUAAAUACUUGCUGCUUCCUGGAGGGACCAAAGCUCCCUGUCUCCCUUAACUGAUAUUUCAAGAGCAGAUGGGAUAAAUAAAGGCUGCUACCAUGGAUCAGCCUGAAGGCACACCCAAGCAUUCCCCAAAGCACACACAAAGGUUUAUAUAAUGCUUUUAGAUGACCCAUGAACCCUCAGCCCUCUUUGGUGUCUUUGACUCAAGAACAUUCAUGUGGACAGAUCAUCCAGCAAAUCUUCAAGCCAAUCUUUGAAUCCAUCCCUAAAUGACUGUGUGGAUACAGCUACUUCCCAGACAAUGUACUGAUUUUCUGCAUACAUCUUUAUAUUUAUAACCUGACUAGAGCAUCCAAAGCUCCACAGAAAAGUUGUUAACCCAUCCUGGAUUAAAACAGAAUUGAU